rnacentral:rRNA from 1 species
UACAGAGGGGGCAAGCGUUGUUCAGAAUUACUGGGCGUAAAGGGCGCGUAGGCGGCGUGCUAAGUCGAACGUGAAAUCCCCGGGCUCAACCCGGGAACUGCGUCCGAGACUGGCAGGCUUGAAUCCGGGAGAGGGAUGUGGAAUUCCAGGUGUAGCGGUGAAAUGCGUAGAUAUCUGGAGGAACAUCGGUGGCGAAGGCGGCAUCCUGGACCGGUAUUGACGCUGAGGCGCGAAAGCCAGGGGAGCAAACGGG